rnacentral:lncRNA from 1 species
AAGAUAGAUCUGAAAUCCGGGUACUACCUGUGAGAGUUAGAGUUAGUUUUGGGUUAGCAGUGAGAAGAAGCCAGUUAGUAAAGAUGAAGAGAAAAGAGUAAGGAUCAGAGUAGCGCUUUGGAAGCGUGUUGAGUUUCAGGAGAAGGCUGGGUAUUGCUAAGGUGUUUCUUUUGGUAAGGGUGAUUUCCUAUGGAGAAAGUCC